rnacentral:lncRNA from 1 species
CUGGGCGCAAUGCAAAUAAUUUGAGCAAGAACUUUAAUUGAAAAUUUACGAAUCUUAAUUACAAGGUGCCAAAUUCUAAUUCUUUUGAAUUUGAAUUUUGCAUAGUCCCUCCCAAGCGUGGCCAAGCUAUUUAAUAUAAUUUAUCCGCAUCAUAAUUAGCUUUGAUCUUUCUCUCUGUCCCCAUUUGAUUGAUAUUGUUUUCAGGAGUCAAUAUUUAAUCUAAAAAAUAAAUAAUUGAAACAUUAUUAGCAUUACUGCAUGUGAGUUAUAUUAAUUGACGAUAUUUUGUACACUGAUUUUUUCGCUACAAAUCAUAUGAAAGCACAACUGUCUUUGUGAACUUAGUUCAGUUGGUUGGACAAUACAUCAAAUAUGUAAAGUUUGAGGUUCAAAUUCUGACCACUACCUAAAAAAUAUGAAAACACAGCAGGCAAUGGGAGAAAA